AAAACCCAGCUGAGCGUUGAGUACUCAGCGCAAUUGAGUGGUUUUCCAUAUUCAGCAGAUGAGAUAUAUCCGUUGAGAGAGGCGAAAGAGAACCGAUUUGCUGAAUCGACGGAUUCGAGUGCAAGUGGCUGAUCUUCGGCUUUUCUUUGCUUGCCUUGCAGACGACAGCCACAAAAACCGAAAACGAGACGAAAAAAAGCGGAGAAUAAUCAUAAAAAAUUAUUGAAAUCAAUUGUUAAUUCAGCCAAUGUCAGUUUGAUACAGGCGCACACUCACACACGCGAACCCACAAAAAAAUUGACUGAUUUUUCUUGAUUUAUGAGAGCAGCCGCAGCAGUUGGUGGGAUUGGAUUGGAGCUGGGACUCGAACUCGGACCGUUGGUAUUUUUCUUCAAGACCGGACCGGACCGGCUGGCCGGGCAAUCGAGAUUUGUCGGGGAGAUCUCAAACUCGGGGGGCUUACUCAUUAUGAGGUGGCGGUGGCUCAGCCGCAGAUGGAGCCGACUUAAAGUUCGAAGGGGUCCGCAUACAAGUAUGAAUCGCUACCGGGAUUAAACAGAACACACAAACAGCUGGGUUCGGAAAAAUAAGUGCGACAAGUGUUUUAUAAUCAAUCGGAAGCAAUUCAACAAAGCUGAGAAUUUAAUGAUCCGAAAAAUCCUGACUAAGCAAAAUAUACAACAUCAAAUUGUUAAUCAACAGUUCUUAAAAAGUUUAAAUAAUUAACUUUAGCUUAUAGUUUAGUUUCAUAAGACUUCGUAUAGAUAUAAAAACAUAAGUUUGUUAUCAGAGCUUCUAAAGUAUUAAAUAAUAUGUCCAUAAAAUAUUAUAUAGUUGUGGCUUAACUUAAGUUAUUUGUGUUCAUAAUUCGCCUUAAAUAAAAGUUGAUAGCAUAAUCGCAAAAA